rnacentral:rRNA from 1 species
UACAGAGGAGCCAAGCGUUGUCCGGAUUGACUGGGCGUAAAGCGCACGCAGGCGGCCGCGCGCGUGGGGUGUGAAAUCUGGCCGCUUAACGGCCAGGCGCCAUCCCAUACGGCGCGUCUGGAGUGAUGCAGAGGUCGAUGGAAUUGCCGGUGUAGUGGUGAAAUGCGUAGAGAUCGGCAGGAACCCCCAGGGGGAAACCAGUCGACGGGGCAUCGGCGGAGGAUGGGUGCGAGAGCGUGGGGAGCGAACCGG